rnacentral:misc_RNA from 1 species
GAAACGCGAAAGGUAAUGCGAAUUGCAGAAUCAGUGAGUCAUCGAAUCUUUGAACGCACAUUGCGCCUCUCGGUAUUCCGGGAGGCACGCCUGUUCGAGCGCCAUUACAAACUCCAAGCGUGGCUUGAUGUUGGGCGAUGUCUUUUUGCGAGAGCGGAGACACGCCUGGAACGCGUUGGCGCCGCCGCCGGACCACGAGCGUGGCAAGACGAGAGUCAAUCGCAUCGAUUUGGAUUCCGACGGAGGUCCGCCAUGGGACUGCACUUUCGAGUGUAAGUUCACAACUUCUCUCAAGUUUGGCCUCGGAUCAGGCGGGGAUACCCGCUGAACUUAAGC